UUUUUUGUUUUUUUGCUUUCUUAAUCUGCUCCAGCCCAGAGCCGAACACAGAAUGGUCAUUCACUAUGGGAAAAUACUCUUUAAAAUUACUUCAGAGGGCAUUUUUUCUCCAGUUUUAUUGUUCGUUUAUACUCUUCAGUAAUAUAGUUCCUUAAAACGCAAGGUCUAUUCCUCUAAUAUCUAAUAUCAAAGACUUCAAUGAGGCAGGUACAAGAAGAAGUGACUACAGGAUGUCCUUAUGGCAAACUCUUCAAAUGUGAGCUUAAAUCAUGAGGUUUAUUCAUAAGAUAGAAGAGUGUUAGAUAAUUCAUCUCACAAGGUAGCAUUGGAUUUUUCUCCAGUCACCAGAGAAUUUUAACAGCCUAGUUGUUGUUGAAAAUGUUGUACCUUCGAAAUGGAAGGCAGUGUCCCUCCUUAUCACUGGUAAAUCAAUCUCAUUACUUCUACUGCAUAUAUGUUCUAGAUUUUAAUUUUUCAAAGUGAAACUUAAUAUGACACAUUUUAAUGAAAAUUCUUAUCUUGGCUUUGGUCUUAAUCCUUACAUUAAAAUACACAAAACAGUGAUAUUUCACCUGAAUUAUAAUGUGUAUGCACAGCCAAGUAUCUAAAUAAAGCAGACUGAUGAUAAAGGUGAUGGAAAAGUAUUUGUAGGAAAUUAGACACCCACAUAUAAUGCUACGAUGUCCCCAAUCAUAAAUCCUACUCAUUUCCAGGACACAAAUCAAAUGAUUAUGCAUUUAUUUGCACUUUUUCCAAAGCUAAAUAUUUUAACAUCAGAAUGCUAUGCUGUCCUCACCACAAUGGGCGUCUUUGCUCUUCAACCCCUUGCCCUAAUGCUGUACCAUACUACCCACUCACAUUACUUCAUCUCUAAAUUUGCCCACAAGGUAAUCCUUUAAUUUAGGACUGUUAGUGGAAUUUUAACCACCAAAAGACCCUCAAAGAAGAUAUUAAUUGCUACUUUUGCAUCAGGCACAGUAUUGUAUCCCAAGCUACUCUGCAGAAAUAUUAUCCAUCAUACUGUCAUAUAUACUUUGUGAAAAGAUGUAUUCUCAGAGAAAAAAAUGACCAAAAUCAUUCCAUUUUUGAUGUAGUUGUUGUAAUGAUCAAAAUUUUACAUGCUACAAUAAGAACCAAACUCUAAUUCUCCUCUAGAAACUAUUAAUAUGAGCCUCCCCAAUCUCAUAUUUAAUCCAGCAUCUAAGUUCCUUAACUAGUACCACGGAAAAAAGAUAUCUGGCAAGUUUGUCUUUGUGGUUAAUAAUUAUGCUAUUCUUAGCUAAAAGAAAAAAGGAAAAAAAAAAAACCUAAAAAGAGCCUCCUAAAAUCUUCAAUACUGAGCAUAUUUUAGAUUGUGAGACAAAAGGCCAUAUAUUAAAUGCAGAACAUCACUAUUGUCUUAUUCCUUCCUAUUGAAAGGUGAGAUAAUACAGGAAUCAUUUCCCUUACCAAUAAUCUACUUUUUCCAUUGAGGGUGUCAUUAAACAGUAGAAAAUAAAAUACUGGAACAUCUUAUCUGUUUGGUUAAUAGUUACUCAUCCCAUAAACCACUGAAGUGAUCCCUUGGACAUACUUGGUUAAAAAUUACAUGUAUUUCUCUUUGGGGUCUUAAAUUUAAUUGAAUGGUAUUUUGCACCACUUCCCGAAAGGAAAAUAGGAAAUAUAAUGUGCCCUGCCCUGUUUCUUCCUCUGAAGGAAGAGAACCUAAUAACAACAACAAAAAAAAGUGAGACAGAAAGAGGGAUCAUCUGCUAUGGGAAACUAAUAUUAGCCUUGAGGGACAGCAAUUUUGUAAAUAUAAAACCCAGAGUAGGCAGUUUUGUUUGAAUUAGAGAAGUAGCUGGAAUCUCAGCUUGGCAUCUCCCUGCACCCAGGCACUAAAGUCAUAAUCUGGCUGCACAAAGGCACCUUGCAGGGGAAUUGAGCUCAUGAGUUAAGCACCAACAGGAUCCAUUAGUGACUGCCACGAGGGUUCAGAGCAACGGUGGUGUGAGGAGGGAGGUGAAGCAGGUCAGAUACAAAGGAGGGGAAUCUUUCUGGUAGAGACAAGCUUGCAUAGCUAAUAAAAUGAAGCCAAGGGUCUUUUUUGAUGUCUUCGAUUCACUCAACACUGACAGGACUGGAUGUUUACAUGAUAUGCUCUUAUGAGAUGCUACUCUUCUUUGAGGCAAGAGACACUCCUUACUGAAGGUAAACAGUCAAAAUAACAUUGUCUUCAUGCUCACAUAAUUAAAUGGCCAAACAGAGCUUGGAGGUUUUUUAUUAGCCCACAGACCAGGCUAACAGCUACAAAUAACAGGUCAUCUACUUGAUUGGGAAUUCGUAAAGGCCACUACAAGAUGACAUGCUUCACUUGAUAGUGAAAGAAAGGAGCGUUGCUCUGCUGUGACAUGAACAUUUCCAUUAUUUAAAACUAAGAGCUAAAGGUGGACUUUUGGAGAAACAAUAGAGGGAUUGCAACAAAUUUUAUAAUAUGAACUCAAAAAAAUAUUGAAAUUAACUCUCAACAGUAUUUAAAGUUAUCUAUCUCCUGCCCAAGCUGGGAUGGCUGAAGGCCGUGGGUGACCCUGGCUGGAAGUGCCUCCUUGGGAGCCAUCAGAAGGUGGCCCAAGCAGCAACGGCUCUUUCCCCAGUCCCAUGCAGUUAGCUCAGACACAGUGUUUAUGAGGAGUGUCAUCAUGUUUGGGACGUACGCCCUGCGAUGUGAUGGGAAUUCUGGUUCUGCUCUCAAUGACAACUGAGCGCUACAAAGGUGAGCUUGUCUUCUCCUAAGUGGACUGGAAAUAGUCCUCUGAAAUAAUCUCAUCAUUAGCAAUACUCUGCUAAUAGAGAUGCAAAAGAAUUUAUGGGCCACUGCCCUCCAGGAAUUUACAAUCUUGUUUCAUGUGGCUUGUGUUUCAAACAACAAAGCAAGGUAGUUUGAAUGCAAGCACCUUAAAAGUGGGAAGCCUAUCUUAUGCUUUUAUUUUUUUCUUUUCUGACACAGUACCCAGUGCACACAGGUGUAGAGCCAUAUAACCACCUGCUGAUCUGAUCUGAUUUUAACCUCAAUUAGCUAGAGGUCCACAAUUUCUUAUCUGAAAUGUAUCUUUUGGGAACAGAUACAUUUUGGAAUUCUGAAUGUUUCAGAUUUUUAGAAAGGUGAUAGUUACUUAUUCCACAUAUUUAUAAAACAACUCCAGCAGGGUCUGGUACAGAACCCCAUAAUCAAGCAUAUAAACAUUUGUACAGGAAAAUAUAAGUAUUCACAUUAAGUGAAGGAAGAAAUGACUAUAUUUAACUUCAUGAUAGUCAGCAGUGUAGGUCAAAUUUUGGUGUAAAAUGAGUUAGGAAAAACUUUAGAUGCCUAGAGAUUUUUGGAAAUGUAGACGAUGUCUGUAUAACAGCAAUACACAUCACAGGAAAGACAGGAGUUCAGAGGCUAGGAGUCAAGUAAGCUAUGGAAAAGUGGAGGUUAAACAGUAUUUGGGAGGACCCAGACUGGUCGGUUGGGAGGACUCAUGUGACCACUCUGAAGGCACUGGGUUAGGUAUGGUGGGUCCAAUCAAGAGCAUCAGACUGGGAGUCCCAAGUCCCUGGAGCCACCCGCAUGCUAGGUUAUGAAGCAACAUGGUGAAAGCAGGGCCUGAGAAAUACCGACUAGCCAAUGAUAAUGAUCAUAACAAUGAUGGUGAGUGUGGCUGUUAUUUAUGUUCUUCAUUGGAGAGCUUCUCGAGCUCUAGGUUCUUCUAGAGCACAGGAGAAUCCAAGAUUUGGUGACCAAUAGUAGGGAGCAGAAAAGGGGACAAGGCAAAAAAAUGUCAACAGAUCUAUAGAUUUACAUCAAGUCUGCGGAUGCUAGAAGCUUGUAUAAACAUACAAUGGGAGAAAAAGAAAAUAAAGGUAGGACAUAUACUUCAUUACAAGUUUACAGGAUAGAAGCUCUAUUUGUCUGAGAAAAGGAUUACAGUGUGGAUAAUAGCAGAGUUUACUACCACAGACUGAGUGGAAUUGUGAGAAUGAUCACAUUUCAUCCAAGAAAACAGAACAUUAAUUCUCAAAAGCACAGUGAAAGGAGAAAAAUACCUGCUCAAUUGUAGGAGAAUUAUUAUAGGGGCUGGAUAAAGCGAUGCGAUGCUCUUGAAGAGAAGACAAAGCCUAUAAAAUCCCCAGGGAGUGAGCAGCUCAUAUUACAGACAUUGAACCAAUUGUGAGGCUGGGGAGGAGGAGUAGAAGGGAUGGGGCAGCUAUGCAUGGAAACAGAAGGUAAGACCUUCUAGGCCCCAGUAAAAGAUUGAGGCCAUUUUCAGACUUGAAUCAAGGAAUUCUGAUUGAAAGUAUCAUGCAUGAUUGCCAGUGAAAGACCUAAACAAGGUGAAAGCCCCUCAAGGCCUGAGAAUGACAAGAUGCAACAAAACGGGAAGGGUUAAAUGUUCUCACACGGAGGAAAACACUGCAGCUCAUGUGAAGAUGAGGAGCAGCUGUGGGUUCAGAAAUAGACCUUCCUUGUUCAUAGAGAUGAAGCAUGUUGUAUUAAGGGAGGGUGGCACGCACUUGGAAGAAGAGUCAUGUUCUCCUAACAGCCCCAGAAUGGGUAACACAUCAAAGUGGUUAAGCACAUCUGUGUGUUAAAGGAAAAAGCAUAAUGUUUGCUUUUGAUUGUAGCCUGUUUUUUUUUUUUUUUUUUUAAGUUGCAUUUCUAUGUAAGUUGCUUGGAGGAGAGGAGGGAAUGAACAUACUCAAUAUAAGUG
rnacentral:lncRNA from 1 species